rnacentral:rRNA from 1 species
AACGAACGCUGGCGGCAUGCCUAACACAUGCAAGUCGAACGAGACCUUCGGGUCUAGUGGCGCACGGGUGCGUAACGCGUGGGAACCUGCCCUUAGGUUCGGAAUAACUCCCCGAAAGGGGUGCUAAUACCGGAUAAUGUCUUCGGACCAAAGAUUUAUCGCCUUUGGAUGGGCCCGCGUUGGAUUAGCUAGUUGGUAGGGUAAAAGCCUACCAAGGCGACGAUCCAUAGCUGGUCUGAGAGGAUGAUCAGCCACACUGGGACUGGGACACGGCCCAGACUCCUACGGGAGGCAGCAGUGGGGAAUAUUGGACAGUGGGCGAAAGCCUGAUCCAGCAAUGCCGCGUGAGUGAUGAAGGGCUUAGGGUUGUAAAGCUCUUUUACCCGGGAUGAUAAUGACAGUACCGGGAGAAUAAGCUCCGGCUAACUCCGU